UGGGGAAUUUUGGACAAUGGGCGCAAGCCUGAUCCAGCCAUGCCGCGUGCAGGAUGAAGGCCUUCGGGUUGUAAACUGCUUUUGUACGGAACGAAAAGGUGCCUUCUAAUAAAGGGCGCUCAUGACGGUACCGUAAGAAUAAGCACCGGCUAACUACGUGCCAGCAGCCGCGGUAAUACGUAGGGUGCGAGCGUUAAUCGGAAUUACUGGGCGUAAAGCGUGCGCAGGCGGUUUUGUAAGACAGAGGUGAAAUCCCCGGGCUCAACCUGGGAACUGCCUUCGUGACUGCAAGGCUGGAGUGCGGCAGAGGGGGAUGGAAUUCCGCGUGUAGCAGUGAAAUGCGUAGAUAUGCGGAGGAACACCGAUGGCGAAGGCAAUCCCCUGGGCCUGCACUGACGCUCAUGCACGAAAGCGUGGGGAGCAAACA
rnacentral:rRNA from 1 species